UACGUAGGGGGCAAGCGUUGUCCGGAUUUACUGGGCGUAAAGAGCGUGUAGGCGGCCAAGCAGGUCCGUUGUGAAAACUGGAGGCUUAACCUCCAGACGUCGACGGAAACCGCGUGGCUAGAGUCCGGAAGAGGAGAGUGGAAUUCCUGGUGUAGCGGUGAAAUGCGCAGAUAUCAGGAAGAACACCAAUGGCUAAGGCAGCUCUCUGGGACGGUACUGACGCUGAGACGCGAAAGCGUGGGGAGCGAACAGG
rnacentral:rRNA from 1 species